AGGGAAUAUUGGACAAUGGGCGAAAGCCUGAUCCAGCAAUGCCGCGUGAGUGAUGAAGGCCUUAGGGUUGUAAAGCUCUUUUACCCGGGAUGAUAAUGACAGUACCUGGAGAAUAAGCUCCGGCUAACUCCGUGCCAGCAGCCGCGGUAAUACGGAGGGAGCUAGCGUUGUUCGGAAUUACUGGGCGUAAAGCGUACGUAGGCGGUUACUCAAGUCAGAGGUGAAAGCCCGGGGCUCAACCCCGGAACUGCCUUUGAAACUAGGUAGCUAGAAUCUUGGAGAGGUCAGUGGAAUUCCGAGUGUAGAGGUGUAAUUCGUAGAUAUUCGGAAGAACACCAGUGGCGAAGGCGACUGACUGGACAAGCAUUGACGCUGAGGUACGAAAGCGUGGGGAGCAAA
rnacentral:rRNA from 1 species